GGGCCUAUAGCUCAGUCGGUUAGAGCAACGGACUCAUAAUCCGUCGGUCCCCGGUUCAAGUCCAGGUGGGCCCA
rnacentral:tRNA from 1 species